rnacentral:ncRNA from 1 species
UCCCAACGACAGGGGAGCGCCCCGUCGUCGGCCCCGGAGCCCCGGCUCCGCCCGGCGAGUCCGGCGCUGAGAGUGCGGGCGACCGCAGACCCUCGAACCUGCUCCGGUCAGUACCGGCGAAGGAAGUCGAGCAGAAUCUCCC